rnacentral:rRNA from 1 species
UACGUAGGGGGCGAGCGUUGUCCGGAAUCAUUGGGCGUAAAGCGCGUGUAGGCGGCCCUGUAAGUCCGCUGUGAAAGCCCAGGGCUCAACCCUGGGAUGCCGGUGGAUACUGUCGGGCUCGAGUCCGGAAGAGGCGAGUGGAAUUCCUGGUGUAGCGGUGAAAUGCGCAGAUAUCAGGAGGAACACCAAUGGCGAAGGCAGCUCGCUGGGACGUGACUGACGCUGAGACGCGAAAGCGUGGGGAGCAAACAGG